UCCCUGGUGGUCCAGUGGUUAAGACUCAGCACUUUCACUGCUGCGGCAUGGGUUCAAGCCCUGUUCAGGGAA